CUCUCUGUUCUCCAGAAGACGGAGGUGUGUGGGCCCAGAACAAGCGGCCUCCUUGUGCACCUCUGUUUGCUUGAAGGGGUGUUUUCUCACAUAGCUGCAUUUCACUGGCUGUCUUAGCAAAAUCACACCUCCCUCACAGCUCCCUCGACGCUGUGUUUAUAUGUGUAGCUUUUAUGGACCUCAUUGGCUUCUCUGAGGGCAACUAAUGGACCAAGGUAUGCAAUGAUUUCCUGUUUUCUGUAUCAAACUGCGCAAAGGAAAUGUUCUGACUCUGGCAGCUUUGUUGGAAAGUAAGGUCUCACUAUGCCAACACAAUUUAUUUAUACACCACACUGAGUUAACAACGCUUUUGUUGUGUUUUAAUUAUACGCCUCCAUAUACACGCAUCACCAUUUUAUCGUCACACCUUUAAGUAAUGACAAUGAACAUAUUUUAGUUAUUUUUAUGGAACAAAAACAUCUGGAGGCAUUAUAGACAUGAAUGCACGCGUUUUAAAGUUCAAAUUGUGCACCCUAAGCAAAAGUAGUCCUCCAUCAACAAUCAUAAUUAGUUAGAAGUGAUUCUUUAAUUAGUUUUACUUUCUAGUUUUAAUUAACAUUCAUUUUAUGGACAUAAUAGUUACUUAAAAUCAUAACUGACAGUUAUGUAUCAUUGCACGACUAUAUUUGGAUCAACUUAGCAAGUGAAUAGUUUGUUCAUUUGUGUUGAUUAUCAAAAAACAGGAUGAGCUGUUUGGUGGUCUAUAAUUUUGAGAACUACUGUGCUAAAAUUUAAAGCAUGAAACAAUCUGGCCAACAUAUAUUCCAUUUCUCCAAAUUAAGUUUGUUUACCUCUAAACAACUUGUUUAUUUCAGGUUUUUGGUGAGAAAGGCAGCUGGCCACCGGUGUCCUGUGGUGCAGUGGUUCUCUGAGCAGAUCUCUAGUGCAGCGUGCCUGAUUAACUGGCAGCAGACAAGAUGGGAAACAACUUGCAUUGAAGUCUGAAACUAAGCCCUAUGGAGUGACCAAAUACCAGGUUCUUUUGACUUUUACCAAACUGGAAAAAAAGAGAGACCCAGGACAGUGGAAUGAGAG
ensembl:lncRNA